UACAGAGGGUGCAAGCGUUAAUCGGAAUUACUGGGCGUAAAGCGUGCGUAGACGGUUAUUUAAGUCAGGUGUGAAAGCCCCGGGCUCAACCUGGGAAUUGCAUUUGAGACUGAAUAGCUAGGGUGCGGAAGAGGGAAGCGGAAUUUCCGGUGGAGCGGUGAAAUGCAUUGAGAUCGGAAAGAACACCAACGGCGAAAGCACUCUGCUGGGCCGACACUGACACUGAGAGACGAAAGCUAGGGGAGCAAAUGGG
rnacentral:rRNA from 1 species